UGAUUUGGGCUACACACGUGCUACAAUGGACAAUACAAAGGGCAGCGAAACCGCGAGGUCAAGCAAAUCCCAUAAAGUUGUUCUCAGUUCGGAUUGUAGUCUGCAACUCGACUACAUGAAGCUGGAAUCGCUAGUAAUCGUAGAUCAGCAUGCUACGGUGAAUACGUUCCCGGGUCUUGUACACACCGCCCGUCACACCACGAGAGUUUGUAACACCCGAAGCCGGUGGAGUAACCUUUUAGGAGCUAGCCGUCGAAGGUGGGACAAAUGAUUGGGGUGAAGUCGUAACAAGGUAGCCGUAUCGGAAGGUGCGGCUGGAUCACCUCCUUU
rnacentral:rRNA from 2 species